UACGUAGGGGGCAAGCGUUGUCCGGAACCAUUGGGCGUAAAGCGCGUGUAGGCGGCCCGGUAAGUCCGCUGUGAAAGUCCAGGGCUCAACCCUGGGAUGCCGGUGGAUACUGUCGGGCUCGAGUCCGGAAGAGGCGAGUGGAAUUCCUGGUGUAGCGGUGAAAUGCGCAGAUAUCAGGAGGAACACCAAUGGCGAAGGCAGCUCGCUGGGACGUGACUGACGCUGAGACGCGAAAGCGUGGGGAGCAAACAGG
rnacentral:rRNA from 1 species